GUCUAAUUAUGUGGCCUCCACAAGGCACCGGAACAACGUGUGAAGCAAUCAGGAUGACGAUCAGCACCUUCAGGGAAGAGGGUGGGCUACUUCAUCCUCCCCCAUAGUCUGCUUACUUGGCUGUUUCAGGAGACCCAUGGAGAAGUGGCCAAAGGGCUGUGUGACACAAAUAGUCUGAUGUGCCAAGCUGACAAACAAAUGAUCCACAGCCGACGGUGUAAUUGAAAACUCAGAGAGGAGGUGAACAAUUAAUCUCUCUAUCUCUCACCUUUCAAAUUUCCACCCAGAAACUCUUGAAAAUGCUGAUUAUAGAUUAGAGUGUUAUUGAUUAGAUGGGCUGGAAGGAGAGGCAAAGAGGUGCAGAAGUUCCCCAUCACUAAUCUUUCUAGCUGUGACUGCAUCUAAAUAACCUGCAGAGAGGGAUAAACAGGCGCAUCCAUCAUGGGACAGCUUCUGCAGACAGAGAUGGAUGUCUCCACCUUCUGCCACCCUCCGCCGCACCUCUCCCUCCUGGUCAGGAAUAAGAAGUGACACCGAGUCUCCGGAGGAAUACCGAGCUGUAACUGUGCGGCAAAAUUCCUUCUUUUGCUCUGAUUUGCUGGAAAGACGGUGCAAGUGUGAGCUUUUCAAAACGGUCCCAUCCUCCAUCCACUUGUCUGUUUGAAUCUGUAGGAUUAUCCAUCUUGAUAGGUCCUGUUUGUUUUGUCACAGAAGGAAAUUGUUUUUGUGAUUGUGUGUGUGCACAAGUGUGUGAACUUACCCAUUUAKACUUUUGUGUUUGUGCAUAAAUUGAUUUUAGUGUGACUUUUAUUUCUCUCUCUCUCUUUGCUCCUGCACAUGAGCCAAAUCCCCUGUGCAGCCUGAACCCAGUGAGCAGGYGUGCCCAUGCCAGCUCCCUCCUGAGGUGCCAGUCUGACAGAGAUGUGCAUCCAUAACAGUGAGCUGGUCUGCACCGGGCUGUGUGGGGGGCGAGUCCAGCUCCUCACUUUGCCAACACAGCCGACCGGAUCUGAACAGACCAGACGGGACUGGAUGGUGGCAGACUGGCCAAACAGAACUUGGCAGUCGGAGGCAGAUUUCUGUGGGAGAGGAGAACACCGCGAGCAGCUUGUUUAGAAGAGAAGGGGCUGGGUCCUCAUGAGUGCGCAUUUGUCGG